GGCUAUUCAAAAAAUUCUUAGACGGUCUUUAUCGGCUGAAAAGAGAUCAACUGACGUUCCAAAGGGGCAUUUGGCUGUUAUGUCGGGGAGAGUGAAAAGAAGCGAUUUGUAAUUCCAUUAUCGUAUUUGAAUAAUCCUUUGUUUCAAGAAUUGCUAUGCCAAACUGAAGAAGAAUUCGGAUUUCAUCAUCCGAUGGGCGGCCUCACUAUUCCUUGCAGUGAGGAGUUAUUCAUUGAUCUCACCUUUCACUUGAGCAAAACACAAUAAAUUGAAUAGGUUCUAGAGCAAUAGAAUUUUUGUUAGCUAGUCUCUUUACAGGUUUUUCCAUUUGUACACACACAAGAUACUUUGUCGGAUACAAAAAGUAUUCCCGGACAAAUUAAUGGCAAUUACAAGUUUUAUCAUAAUCCCUUUUUUUGCAUUUUUUUCAAAAGUUUUAUCUCUAACUUUUUGUUUGAUGUUGGUCACACACAAUAAAGCAUGUUCAAAACGUAGAUCAUUAUGUACUUGUCAGAAUAUAAAUAAGGCAACUCGAUCAUUGGAAUUUCAUGAACCCCCAACAAAUGAAUCGGCUGAAGAGUUUGUAACCAGUGUGGAUGCUUAUAUUUUGGUCCGGGCAAAGAAUCCCAAAUAAUAAUUUAUAGCCAGAGAUAUAAAUACAAGAGCAUUGAGCACAUUGCAAACUAUUCUUUUGGUUUUUUUUUUUUUUUUUUUUUUUUUUGCAAACAUGGUGGCUCGUUGCAAUUCAAGCAGCAUACGCCUCAUUUUGGAGGGUUAAUCUUGUUCAAUGUUUACUAAUUUUAAUUUGGUCACUGAUAAGUUACAACAUUCAAAAAUAUGUUUUGAAAAAGUGCCUAUAAUCAAAUUUAAUUAUUAUGUUUCUAACGUCUGAAAAAACAUAUAUGGGACUUGGUUAAACUUGAGAAAUUAUAUGGAAAUUUCAAUUUGUGGUAUAUUUGACAAGAUAAAAUAGCGCAAGUAAGGUAUGUUAAACAAAGAACAAAAGAUUGAUUUGAACUGUUGAGCUCAUAUAUAUAGAAUUAGUAUUUCCAAAUCAAAUCACACAAUACUUUGGCAUCUUAAAAUGGUUCAAAGAUUUUGCUAUAUAUCUACUCUAAUUUUGUGCUUCUAUACAUCUUUUUUUUUUUUUUCCAUUCGUCUAGAAAAGAACUAACAAGAACUAAUUUUACAAAAUUGUGGUCCUCCUAAACAUGUAUGUAUAUCAUGUUCUGCUCAAACGAGAGGUUAAAUCAAUAAAUAGAUCUUCACUGCAAGGAAUAGUGAUUCCACCCAUCGGAUGAUGGAAUCCAAAUUCUUCUUCGGCUUUAGAUAGCAAAUCUUGAAACAAAGGAUUGUUCAAAUAUGAUAAUGGAAUAACAAAUCGCUUCUUUUGACUCUCCCCAACAUAAACAGUUAAAUGCCCUUUUGGAACUUCAGCUGUUCUUCUUUCGUUGGAUAACGAUCGUCUCAAAAUUUGGCGGAUUGCCAUCUUCUUGUGAUGUGAAUCUUGCUUUAAUUUGUUCAAGUAAAAACGAAGAGGUAUUUGAAAUAAGUGAAAGCUGAGUAUUUUCAGGAGUUGGUUGUUGUAUGUUUGUAGUCAAGAAUGUGGUGUAUAUAUAGGUUGUUUUCUUGAGAUACUACCUAAGUGUGGUCAACAUAAUUGUGGUUACUCUAUGAAACUCGAAAGAACAUACGCAUAUGAAAUCACAUGGAUUUGUCUGAAAACAUGAUAAUAAAUUCAAGCCAACAUGAAUUUCUGUGAUCGAAAAUUUAGUGUCCUACCAACUAUGGCAACAUGGCCCACACAUUUCAUUAUCUCUUCUUAUUAACUUAAAUCCCGAAUUAUGCUUACUGUGUGUAACUUAGGUUUUGGUAUAUAUCCAAUUAUACAUAUACAUGUGAUCUUCGGCCAUUUGCUAGCGUAGUGGGCUGUUGGGUGCUAAAUACCUAACACGCAAUUGCACGUAUCGCAAACAAGUAGUAAAAGUGGACUCGUGAGAGUCGGAUGUCGAUCCCACAGGGAAUACUCAAAUUAUCUAAUCCUAAGUACCAAAUUCUAACAAUUAUGAUUUUUAUCCAGCCUACGCAAAGUUGUCAAAUUUAAUCAACUAAAUAAUUAAACUAAUUAUGAAAGCAAUUAAACACGAGAAAAUAUCAAUAAAAACGGACCUAGGAUUUUAUCUUCCCCCUAUGCAAGAAUUGCUCACCCAAAACCCCUCAAUUAUGAAAUAUAUGAUUCAUGAUUAUUAACCCAAGACACUAAUUUACUCAUAACCCGCUGUCGCGUGUAUUAUGAGUCUAUUAUUCAUAAACGAUUCACUAUAUGUCUAUGCAAAUCAAUUAAAAAUAAAGCAUUAACUAACAAGUCUCGUAAAUGGCUACCUAAGGUGAUAUCUGUAUGUCUACGACACCACAUGCAAUUGACACACUCAUCCGGUGAAAACUACUCGAAGGCUCUUCUACCUACCGUCUAAUUAUCAAAAUAGCUCUGUCGAGUCAAUGCCAAUAAUCACAGAUAAAGCACAUAAAUUGAUCAGGUUCAUGCACUAACAAUCAUAACAAGUAGAAGAAAUAAUCAUAAAAUCAUAAUUGCAUAAUCUCAAGAAAACGGGAUCACCAUCCCCACAUAGGGUUCCAAUAAAAUCCUAGAUUAAAAGCUUAGCUACUCGUAAUUCUUAUGAUAAACAAAAUAGAAUAAAUGAAAUAAAUAAGAAAAACUAUGCUUGAGUCUUCGUUGAUCUUCGUUCUCCGCGUUUUUUGGUGUAAAAUUUCGUGCUUAUGGUGUAGAGACAUGUUGCUUUUAUAGGCUUUUCUUGAUAAGGAAGUAGUAGAAACCUAAUAGGAAUCAAUUUCCGCCACUUUCCCCCAUCAGGACUUGUUCUUCGAUUUUCGCCAUGUUGGAGUCCGAAUUUUGGAAUAUUGUGUAAAUAAGAAUUGUAGCCCUUGAAAUUAGCUUUCCAAUGCCGCCAAAAUCACCUAAUUCGGAGUUUGUAUGAGAGAGAUAUGCUCGAAAUCGUGGACAGUGUCAAAGCUGUGGCGAGAUUCCUUCUUCCAAUUUGAUUUGUUUCCUUAUUUGCAACUUUUUCCUUUCUUUUUGAUCUUUUUUCCUUCAUGGACACCUAAUUCUCGUUUUUCACCUAUAAAACACAAAAUCAAUCAAUUAAAGCACAAAUAUAAUUAAAUCUAAACAAAAGAUCCACGUAAAGUAAACGUAUUGAGUGUAAAAUCUACACUCAACAUGGGCCUCUAUUUUUAUUUUGUAUUCACAACAAAUUCAAUAAGAGAAGGCUGCGGCCCCGCACAUCUCAUCGUAUAUCUCGAUAUUUCGUAAUAAAUACUAACAAUUAGGAAAUGUUAUCCUAGAUGUUAUCCUAAAAUUCUUAGACGGUCUUUAUCGGCUGAAAAAAGAUCAACCGAAGUUCCAAAGGGGCAUUUGGUUGUUUACGUCGGAGAAAGUGAAAAGAAGCGAUUUGUAAUUCCAUUAUCGUAUUUGAACCAUCCUUCAUUUCAAGAAUUACUAUUUCAAGCUGAAGAAGAAUUCGGAUUCUGUCAUCCAAUGGGCGGCCUUACUAUUCCUUGUAGUGAGGAGUCAUUCAUUGGUCUCACCUCCCACUUGAGAAGAGCAUAAUGUAUAUAUUAAGUCUUAGAGAAAUAUAAUUUUUGUUAGCUAGUCUCUUUACAUAUUUUUCAUAUUUGUAAAUUGUAACACACAAGUACUUUGUCGGAUACAAAACGUAUUCCCGAACAAAUUAAUGGUAAUUACAAGUUCUUAUCAUAAGCUCUUUCUUGCACUAUUUUUUUCUCAAAAAAGUUAUCUCUAACUUUUUGUUUGACUAGAAAAAUUAAGUAGAAAUAUUUAGGGUAAAUAGCAUCUGCGGUUAACAGUUUUGGCAGAUAACCCACUCUCGUGUGCUUGUAAUAUCAUCUCAUAACCCCCUUGUGGUUGAUUGGUUGUAUUUGUUAGUUUUUCCGUCAAACUUAACAGCACGAUCAAACUUCAAGGAGUCAUCUGCAUAAAUUAAAGGGAAAAUGUAAGCACAAGGGGGUCUCUGCAAAAAGUAGUAUUUGACAUUUGACACGUGCAGUUAAUUUUGAUGAAAAAACUAACGGGUGCUAUUCCCAUCAAUAAACCACAAGGGGUUAUGUGUUGAUAUUACGAGCACAACAAGGGGAGUAAUCUGCAAAAACUUGUAAUCACCGGGGGUUAAGUGCGAUUUAUUCAAAUAUUUAAAAGAGGAAAUGUGCAAAAUUAUUUCUGAAAAGACAAAAUAUCGGAGAUGGGGGAAACUGAUUCAGUUUGUUUUAAGAGACCAGGUUUUCAAUGAGCUGAUUCAAAGGAAGAAGGCAAGGGCAUUUUUGACAUUCCUACACAUCUACCAUAUAUUGUGUGUGUUUGUAUGGAAAUUAAAAGCCUCUCUCUCUCUUUUUUUUUUUUUUGAGUAAAAAUUAAAAGCCUCUCUAUCCACUGACUCAUACGCAGCUUUUUUAGCUUGAGGAACCACAAAGAGGAAGCAUCAUAUACGAAGCAAGUUAACAUAUAUUUGAGUUCCACCCUCCGGAAUUUGUUGCAAAAGAGAUCGUUGGAAUAAAGUUUCCUCCAUAAUUAAAACGGUAUAUAGGCACUUAACCCAUCUGUGGUUACAAGCUUUUGCAGAUGACCCCCUUGUGCUCGAAAUAUGAGCACAUAACCCUCUUGUAGUUUAUGGAGUUGGCUUCCGUUAGUUUUUCCGUCAAACGUAACCGCGUGUUUCAAACUUUAAGGGGGUCAUCAGCAAAAAUGAAAGAAAAUGAAAGCACAAGGGUAUCAUCGGUGGAAUAAAUAUAUUGAUGUUUGACACAUGCAGUUAAGUUUGACGGAAAAACUAACAAAAACUAGGGGUGUAAAUGAGUCGAGCCGGCUCGCGAGCUUCCGGAGCUUGCUCGAAAAAAGCUCGUACUUGAGCUCGAAAAAUCGAGCUCGAGCUCGAGCUAACGAGCCCAAGCUUUUCGACGAACCGGGCUCGAGCUUCAUUUUAGUUGUUCGACAGCUUGCAAGCCGGCUCGCGAGCUUUACCUUUUUUUAUAUUCUUUAAUAAUAUAUAAUAAUGGAUAUUAUUAAUAAUAAAUAAAAAAGAAUUAUAUUAUUUUUCUAAUUGAAUGAAAAUUUGGUUGUGCCGAGCUCGAGCUCGGGCUCAUUUGGCAUACGAGCUCGAGCUCCUUAGAAACACAACGAGCUCGAGCUCGAGCUGAAAAUUAAAGGCUCGUUGAGUUCAAGCUCGAGCUCGAGCCUUGUAUAGUUCUAGCGAGCUCGAGCUCGAGCUCGCGAAAUAAGGCGAGCUUGGCUCGAGCUCAGCUCGUUUACACCCCUAACGGAAGCUACCCCAUCAACCACAAUGGGAUUUUGUGCUGAUAUACAAGCACAAGGGGAUUAUCUGUAAAAGUUUGUAACCACGGAGUUAAGUGCUAUUUACCGUAAUUAAAAUUGACUAUGUUUGUGAUAUUGAUAAAUAGUUUGAUUUCUUUCAGUCCAUUGCAGCAGUAAAUGCUCAAGCUUUAGAGACUUGGGAAUUUACACGAUGACAAGUGGUCGUAUGACGAUUCCACACAGACAAGAUAUACACGCUCCAGGUUACGAAAAUCCGCUCAUUUGUGGAACUUUAAUUAGACUACCACAAAUAAUAUUGAUGGUUUCAAGAGAUCUGGGGUAUAGAUUUCGAUGCUACAAAGUUACGUUCCUCUUUAGCCAAGGCUAUCUUAGAAAUGUAAAAGUUCUUGAGAUGACGGAGAUUAUUCACCGUGACGCUUCGUAAACCCUAGCAUAAUUCGAGAAACAUACUUUCUACCAAAGGACAAGUAGAGAUUAUCUUCUGAAAAGUGUCGUCCUCAGUAUGUACUUGUACGAGAUGAAGUUUCUUCGGAUGCUUACACAGUACUCUCCUUUCAAUAGCCUUUUGCUCCAACACAAUUUUUUUCACAUGCAAAGGUUGGAGUGAUUCGGUUUCAAAUACUACAACGGGGAGAUGAAUAAAUCCCGAACUUUGUUCCGAAUGAUUAUAAAGACAAAGCUUCUUCAUAACCAUAAUCGGGAGUAUUCGAAUCCAUUUCUCAAGAAGCGAAACUGCUUCGUGAUCCGAAAUGCAAAGAUGAAAUUCGUCUACGUACAUCCUUUGAUCACAAUAUAUCUGUAAAGUGUUGUCGACGGCGGAUAGAAAUUCUUGUUUGUUACCUUUGUAGCUUGUGUCAGAAAAAUCAUGAUGAGGGCGAGUACAACAAUUGCAACGCCAUGACUUUCACAAGACAAAUGUUUGGGCAGCCUCGUCUUGGGAGAGGAAAUACAGUAUUUGUUGUGAGAUGCCUUUUUUGGCAACUCGGGAUAUCCUAUCCAUGGAGUUCGACGGACUAAAUUUUUAGUUAGGGGCUAGGUAAUAUGAUUUUUUCAUAAAUUUUGACCUUUUUCUUUUUCAUGACUUUCAUGUUAGAGUCGAUGAACUAAAAUUCGACAAAUCCGAAUCGAAAUCAACUAUUUUGGGAAAAUUCUACUGUUUUCAGAGAAAAAAAAAGCUAAAUUUAAUUUGGAUUCCUAUUUCGAUUUUAUUUUAAUUUAAAAACGAUUUCAAUUUUACAAGCUUGAAUUUUUUUAGAAUUUUGAAAGUUUGACAGAUAUUUUAUGCUUGCAAUAAAAAGCAAAACAAUUUUUUAGUUAGAGGAAACUCCUAAAACCAAUUUUCAUUAGAUAUCUAUACAUCUAUCUAUAUCUAUACAUAUUAUCAAAGUGUGAAUGUAGUUGGUGUUUCUUCCGUUUCUUCCCUUUUUUGUACGUAUAAAAAUACCCCCACAAAAUAUAGUUCAAAAUCAUAUUUUAAGGGCAAUAAUAUAAUUUACACUAAUGUUAAUAAUUAACCUUUUAUCAUUCAUUGUAUUAAGAAUAAAAACCGGUCACCAAAAACUAUCAUGCAUUUAUAAUACAAAAUAUUAACCAUCACACAAUAAUAAUGCAAUUCAUGGAAGGAAUUCAUAUAUUUUUAUAAAAUGGCACUUCAAUACCAAAGUUCUUAUGAUUUAAUUAAAAAAAUUGUAACUUUAAAACAAAAAACCCAAAAUUUCUAAUAUGAUAUAGUUCAAAAUCAUAUUUUAAGGGCAAUAAUAUAAUUUACACUAAUGCUAAUAAUUAACCUUUUAUCAUUCAUUGUAUUAAGAAUAAAAACCGGUCACCAAAAACUGUCAUGCAUUUAUAAUGCAUUUAUAAUACAAAAUAUAAACCAUCACACAAUAAUAAUGCAAUUCGUGGUAGGAUUGUGCAUGGAUCGGUUUUAACCACCAACCAACCCAUUUUCAACCCACAAUUUGUGAUGGUUAAUCAACCAUCAACCGACCCAUUUAAGUUGGGUCGAUAAUGUUAACCAACCCAUGUAUAGUUGGGUCGAUAAUAGUUUUUAAUAUGCUAAAAAGUUGGUUAGUCGGUUAAUAUCGGCCAACCAACUUUAUUCAUUAAUUUAUUAUUUAUUAAUUCUAAUUAAAAUAUUUAAUAUUUUUAAUUUCAAAUUUCUAUUUUAUAUCACAUUUAUUAAAUUGUUUAAUAUUGACCAAAAUCCUAAAAGCAAUAAAUCUAACCUAAUUAUCUAAUUUGAACUAUUUUAAUUUUAAAACAUAUAUUCUAAAUAUUUAGACGAUAAUUAUCUGUUGUACUAUUUACGUUUAAUUGCAAUAUAUAUGCCCGUAAUGUUUUGAUUUUUUCAUUUCAAUAUUAUUGAACUAGUCGCAUUUAAUUUAUAAAAGAUAUAGCGUUGUAACAAGUAAUAAAAUAUUAAAAAAAAAAUUACAAAAUAUUUAGAUGGAUGACCCAUCAACCAAACCACCAACCAACCCAUUAAAUUAGUUUUCAACCAUCACCCAACCCAAGUAAAUUGGGUCGAUUACGGUUUCCAAUAUUUACCAAAGUUGGUUGGAUGGGUUGGGUUGGUUUUAUGGCUGGUUUUUAACCAAACCAACCAAACGCACAACCCUAAUUCGUGGAAGUAAUUCAUAUAUUUUUAUAAAAUGGCACUUCAAUACCAAAGUUCUUAUGAUUUAAUUAAAAAAAAUUGUAACUUUAAGACAAAAAACCCAAAAUUUCUAAUAUGAUUUAAUUAACGGAAAAUUAGCAAGAACCCCUUAUCUAGAAAAUGUAGUUAAGGAAACACCCCUUAAAAAAUAUUAGAGAAAAUUCCCUUAGCUAAUAUUCCAUCCAAGUGAUAUUUUCAAUCCAAACAUACCCUUAUUUGAUUAUAACUAUUUUAACCCUAAUUAUUUAUCAUUUUUCCAAACCUUUUUUUUCCUCUACGCCGUUUCUCUCGCUUGUCUUCUCAGCAGAUCUUAGACCACUAUCUCCCCCUCCGCCACCGCCAUGGCCAAAAUCACGAACCACUUCUGGAAAUCCACGACGACUGACUAUGGCGACGACGCGACGGAGGAUCCUGCGCUCGCGAAUACCCCAAUAGCGUUCCCAUUACUCAUAGUUUCUUGAGUUUGCGAAGAUUUCUUCUUUGUCGCUGCAAUUAUGAAAUUUUAAUGAUUUUGCUACCUCUUUUUGGAUAUGACAGUGGUCAUGAAGAAAAUUGGGUUUGGGUGACUUUGUUUUUUGUGGUUUUGUUUGGGUUUUAUUUUUCAUUAAAAACCGUCAUUAUAUGGCAGUGUGGUGGUGGUGGUGUUGUGAGGCGGCGGCGUGGUGACGAGGAGGAACAAAUCUAGGGUUUUUUGGUAGAUCAGGCGGAGGACGGCACAUGUAGAGAAAUUCGCGCAUGCUGGACUCUUAAUCGACUAUGUGUUUUUUUGGUAGUCGAUCAAGUUAAUCGACUAUGCUCUGGUAGUCGAUUAAGUUAAUCGAUUAUGCUUUGGUAGUCGAUUAAAGUGUUAAUCGACUAUGCUCUGUUAGUCGAUUAAAGUGUUAAUCGACUGUUCUGGUAGUCGAUUAAGGUUACUUGAUUUCAUUUUCUAAUUUUUGUGUAUUGAUUCCGAGUUGUAGAAAUUAAUUACAAUUUAUGUAUAUUAUUUGUUAUGUAAAAAAAAUGUCGAUUUUUGUUUUUACAUAGUUGUAAUUUUUAUUUUUAUUUUUAAUAGUCAGUUCCUUAAUCGACUAUGAUGAUAUUUCAUAGUCGAUUAAUAUAUCGAAUAGAGAAAAGGUUAAAAUAUGAAGAAAAAAAACGGCUGAUGAAGUGGCAUGGACAUAAUUGGUGAUAGUGCUGAUGAGAUGGCAAAGACAUAAUUGGAUAAAUGGGUGGCUUAAAUUAGGAAGGGAUUUUUUCUCAAAUGGUGAAAAAUAGUUUGUGCUCUCCCUAUUAAAAGAAGUAUUGAGGAGGUUAUAUCAAAGAGCUCAUUUAAAUAAAAAGAUGUCAACUCGGGAGCCAUGUUUCCUUCCUUUCAUUUCUCUCCCGUUCCUAAAUCCUAGAGUUUGGUAAAUAGAUAAAUUUUAACAGAUAAUUUAAAGAACAAAUCCUUCUAAUCAAAACUGAAAUCAACCUCUGUUAAUAAAAUUGGUAAUUUCCAAUCUCUGUUUUGACGAUGAUACUCUUAUUUUCUGCCAAGCCACGGAGGCGAAUGCUACCACUCUUCAAACCAUUUUGAAUAAAUACGCAAGAACUUUUGGGCAAGUGAUUAACUUUGAAAAAUCAACGAUGACUUUCUGCCCAAUGACUACACAGGAGAGACGAGAUGCAAUUCAGCAAAUCUUGGGGUUUCAAAUUGUUGACUGACACGAAAAGUAUUUUGGGUAUGCCCGCUAACAUGGGCCGAUCGAGGAAAGAUAUUUUUGCUUUUCUCCGGGAUAGGAUCUGGUCCAAAAUCAAAGGAUGGGGCGAGAAGCAACUUUCACAAGCAGGGAAGGAGGUUUUAAUCAAGGCAGUCUUGCAAGCGAUCCCAUCAUAUAUUAUGGAUUAAAUUGCAAAUACUACCCCUGUGUUAUCUCGAAAUAGCAAAAACCCCCCUGUGAUAAAUAAACUAGCAAAAACCCCCCUGUGAAAUUUAGUCAAAGGCAGAAUCCCCCCUAGCUGAUUUUUUAGACUUGAAAUGACAAAAUUGUCCCUCAAAAAUGUAUUUAUAUAUAUACAUAUUAUAUGUAUAUUUAUUAUUUUUAAUUUAUUUGUUUAGAAAUUAAAAAAAAUAGUAAACAACUAAAUUGAUUAUUUUUUAAAUAAAAUAAUUAAAAUAUUUAUAAAAUAUAAGAAUUUAUUAAUUGCAAGACUCCAGGGGUAUUUGUGUCUUUUUAUAUAAAGUCAACCCUCAAAUAGUUCCAUAGGGGGGUUUUUGCUAUUUAAAUAAUUUCACAGGGGGGUUUUUGCUAGUUUAUUUAUCACAGGGGGGUUUUUGCUAUUUCAAGAUUACACAGGGGUAGUUUUUGCAGUUUACUCUGUAUUAUGAGUUGUUUUUUGCUUCCGGAUAGUAUCCUCAAGGAAAUGGAAACACCUAUCAGAAGGUACUGGUGGGGUGAUGGUGAGAACCGAAAAAUUCACUGGUUGGCAUGGAAUCAACUAUGCAAAUCAAAGGCCGACGGAGAAUUAGGUUUUCGGGACAUGAAAUGGUUCAAUAUUGCAUUGCUGGCCAAGCAAGUCUGGAGGAUCUUGACUCAGCCCCAUCUUCUGCUCUCUAAGAUUUUGAAAGCUCGCUAUUUUCCCCAUUGUGAUGUGCUUACGGCUGAUAUUGGGAGGCGCCCAUCGGCGACUUGGAGGAGCAUAUGGAUGGCUUGAGAUUAUUUACGGCUGGGAAUUAGAAGGAGGAUUGGUAAUGGGAAAUCUACUUCUAUUUGGGCGGAUCCAUGGCUCUCCGAUGAUGGCGCUUUUCAAGUUUUUACAAAAAGGCCAAUUUAUUCCUCCUUUCCGAACACAGUUUCAGACAUGAUAGAUGCUAAUACAGGUUCAUGGAAUAUUGCGGCUUUAGAAGAAUGGUUAUGGCCAAUCGACAAGGACAUAAUAUUAGCGGUUCCGAUCGGAGGUUCGAUGACUGAGGAUAGAUGGAUAUGGCAUUAUACUACCCAUGGCAGGUUUACCGUUCGUUCAUGCUAUCACACUUUGCUCUCUAGAUGUCAAACAAUUACUGGCGGGGUAACUACGAUUAAUUGGAAACUUGUGUGGAAUCUUCUUAUCCCUCCUAAGAUUCGCAUCUUUAUUUGGAGAGCCUGCUCUAAUAUUUUACCAACGAGAGCGGAGUUAUAUCGGAGGAAAAUAGUGGCAGACCCUUUAUGUCGACGAUGCGGUUCUGUGCCCGAGACUUUUCUCCAUAUUAUUAAAUGCUGCCACGAGUCGCAAGAGAUAUGGCGUUCACAUGUGUUUUAUAGGGUUGCAGGUAACCCACCUCUGUCCACCUGGAUUUGGAUGAUGCAACAACAACAAAGUUUAGAUCCCAAUACUUUUCACCUAGCAAUUGUUAUCACGUGGAAAUUGUGGGAUAAUUGGAACAAAGUGAUUCAUGGCGAGGAGGGGAGCCCAACGUCGGAAGUAAUAAGCUGGUGUUUUAAUUAUCUGAAUACUUAUAAGGCAGCCCAAAUCCGAUUCACUCACAGCAAGGAUAAGAUGCACCCAGCCGUCUGGAAACCACCGGAGCACGGAGAGAUUAAAAUCAACUUUGAUGUCACAUUUCCCAAGGAGAAAGAUUACUAUGUUCUGGCAAAUGUCGCUCGUGAUUGGCAAGGAAAAUGCCUUUGGUGGCAUGCCAAAACAAUUCAAGGACGACCCAAGGUUGUCGAAGGAGAAGCCCAUGCGGCACUUCAUGCAAUUUCAAAGGCGCAUGAACUUGGCUCAUCGGCCGUGACUCUAGAAGGAGAUAACCUUCAAAUUAUGACGGCACUACGGGAACGUAAUGCCUCCGAAGCAUCGUUUGGAGCCCUCAUUGAUGAAUGUUUACGUACUUCUAAUCUUUUUAAUUCAUGCAAUUUUGCUUUCGUCAAGCGCUCGGGAAAUCUUCUUGCCCACGCUAUUGCUACCACCUCUGAUCUUGGUUGUAUUGGCGGUGAUGUUCUGCCUUUGAACUUGGCUCAUAUUGCCUAAUAAAUUUUCAGUUAUUCCUCAAAAAAAAAAAGUUGGUAAGUUAUUUUGCUUAUAUUUCAUACCUUUCUCUUCGAAAAUUAAUUUUUAUAUUAAUACUUUAUGUAAUUAAAAUAGCUUUCAAAAUUAGUAUUUUAUAAUAUAAAAAUGGUUAAAAUUGAUUUUGCACCCCAGUACUAUGCGAAAGGUAUCAUUUACACCCCCCAAAGUAUAGAAAACAUCAAACGCCCCCUAUUUUUUUAUUAUCGAUGGUUAAAAUUUUAACGGUGUUAAAUUUGAGCAAGAAAUGACUAUUUUACCCUCCUGUAUGUAUGAUAUAAUCCCUAAUUGUUUUAAUAUUUAUUUUUGUGGAUUGUUAACGAUUUUUUAGGUUCAUUUAAAUAGAUAUUUUUUGUCGAUUUUAGUGUUUCAUUUUAGGGGUUUUCAAUUUUAUAUUUUUGGGGGUUUCGCCAUUAGAAUAUGAAACCUUUGGCUUUAUAUUUGCAAUUCUCUCAUAAGGUUUUAUUUCAAUUUUAGUUUUUUUUAGAUUUCAGGGGUUUUUAGUUUCUUUUUUUGGGUUUUGCAUUGAUGAUCUGCAAAGCUUCAUUUUAAUUGAUUCGACUUUUCAAUUUUUUAUGCAUAAAGAAAAGAGAAAAGGUUGAAAAUAGUGAAAAAAAAAAUGACCGGAUAAAGUGAAAUAAAAGGGUUGAAAAAAGCAAAAAAUCUGGUGAAUAAUGGCCAAAAUUAUAGAUAUUUUUUGGGGUAUAUUCGUAAAAAAAAAACCAACAACUCUUAGCAAGAGCCGGUCAAAAGGUUUGACUAACGGAAUUAGUAAAAAAACUAACGGGAGAGGGGUGUUUGAUGUUUUUAAUACAUCAGAGAGGGUAAAUGAUACGUUUCACAUAAUACAUGGAUGCAAAAUGAAUUUUACCCCAUAAAAAAUAUAUAAAAUUAAUAAAAAUAUAUAAAUGGGUUGUGUAUAGGGCGUUUAAGAGUGCAUAUGUUCAAAAUCCGUAUCCACUACAGGUGAAUAUUUUAAAAAAGCGUACCCGGCGAUUAGCAAACGGGGCGAGGUGGGACGGGGCGGGUUAAAUUGCCAUUCCUAAUUUCAAUUUUGAUGCAUGGGAUACAAUCAUUAUCAAAAAUAAUUAUAUUUAGAUAAUUUUCCUUUAUCGUGGCAAUAUCAAUUUUGUCACAAGUCAACCUAAACUCCAAACAACGUAGUCUCAUAUUUAGGACACAAAUCGUCACAUAAAUAGUAAAUAAAGUAUUCAAAAAUUCAGAGGAAACUAUAGUGGGAAAUGAUUUCUUUAUCUGGAUAAAUAGAAGGGAACGGAAUUAGAUGAAUUAUUUUUAAUGUCGAAUUAGUCUUCGUCACAACACAAAAUAAAUUAUGAAAUAUCGGAUAUUUACCCAAUAGAAGUAAAAUUUGUCGCAACAACAGUACACACCUAACCCAUAAAUCACUCGCGUUGUUUCUUGUGACAAAUUAUUAUAAUUGCCAUAUAAUCACAUUUUAUGUGACAAGAUGUAGUUUUGUCCCGUAAAGUUUCUGGUUAUGUACAACUUUGUAUUUUUUCACAAUAGCUUGUUACUACUGUGACAAAUUCGCAAUUCGUCGACAAAUUCACAAUUCGUCACAAGAUGAUCUUUCUUGUAGUGGUUUAACUUAUUUCAUCUGAUCUUCUACUUCGUCUAUUUAGUAAAAUCGUAAAUCACGUGCGUAGCACGUGGUACUUACUAGUACACAGAAAAGUAUGUUAGAAACGUAUAUUUAUAGCCAGAGAUUUCAUGAACCCCAACAAUUGAAUUUAGCAGAAGAGUUUAUAACUAGUGCUGAUUGCUCGAUGCUUCUAUUUUGGCUCGAUAUAUAAAUACGAGGACAUAUUUUCGUUCUCCAAUAAGCAGCUGCGCAGUGAGCACACAACGAACUAUUCUUUCGCCUUACACUAAAGAAUACCGUGUGCUCACUGCUAUUCAAGUAGCAUACGCCUCUUUUUGGAGGGUUAAUUUCUUUUUCGGAAGGCACCCCUACUAAAUCUAGUUCAAUUUUUGGCAAGAAACAUAAUCACAUGAGAUACCUAGUUCUUCCACCAUAUAUCUGAAAGCAAAAUGAUGAAUGCAUAAUAAUGAAGAUAUACAUUCAUUUUAUCACAUGGUGGGCCAACUUAACAUAUAUAGACAACUUGGUGUACACAUCAAAUCUUGUUAUUGCAAUAGGCCAUCUAGACUUUAUUAGAGGGCCAUUUUAUCAUAGUUGAUAGGAAACAAUAUUUUCAAAUCACACAAAUUGUUGCUGCUUAUAAUCUUUCUAAUAAAUUAAAAAACAAAUCCAUGUGACUCCAUAUGUACAUGUUUUCUCAAGUUUCAUAGACCACCACAUAUCCAUUUUAUUAUCUUGAUUAUUUAUCAAGUAUAUGGAAUUAAUAGUUCACCUAUAUAUACAACACCAUUUCUUGAUUUUCAACCAUCAACAAAUCCUCCGAAAUACUCUUACCUUUCUCUCCUUUCACUCAUUUCAUAAUACUCUAAACAUAUCCGAUUUCGGCUUUUAAGCAAGAUUCAUUUCAUACAAAAAAUGGCCAUCCGACAAAUGUUGAGACGAUCUUUAUCCAACGAAAGAAAAUCAGCUGAAGUUCCAAAGGGUCAUUUGGCUGUUUAUGUUGGGGACAAUGAAAAGAAGCGAUUUGUUAUUCCAUUAUCGUACUUAAACCAUCCUUUGUUUCAAGAUUUGCUAUUUCAAGCCGAAGAAGAAUUCGGAUUCCAUCACCCGAUGGGUGGAAUCACUAUUCCUUGCAGUGAAGAUCUAUUUGUUGAUUUAACUUCUCGUUUGAGCAGAACAUGAUCGAUAUACAUGUGUAGGAGGAUCACAAUUUUGUAGCAUUAGUUUUUUUUUCUUUUUUCAAGAAGGGUUCUUCUUCCUGUUCCUUCUAUACUAGACAAACAUAAUAGUUUAUCAGUCAAGAAAUGUACAGAAGCACACAAUUAUUAGAGUGUAUACACAAAACACUUUGAUUCAGUUUAAGAUGCCAAAGCAUUGUUUGGUUUGAGUUGGAAAUACUAUUACUAUAUGAACUCAACAAUUCAAAUCAAUCUUCUGUUCUUAGUCUUAACAUAGCUUGAUUAUAUUGUCAUUAUUGCCUGCUAAGUCAAGAAGACCGAUGCAUUAAAUGAUAAUUAUAAAAAGAUUAGUUUUGUUUUAUAAAAUUUUAAUUCAACAUAAGUUAACUUUUACAUUGGUAGAAUUUUUUUUUAUUUAAAAAAAAAAUAAAAUUUAACUUUUCUUUUUUUUUUUUUUCCGGCCGCGGGUUGUCGGAGCUCCAGUUAGUUACAGUCCUUUGUAAGACUUCUUUCACCCUUGAGAACAUGUCUAAAUACUAAAAUAAUUAUCUGUCAUUUGUUGGUUACAUGGGAAUGUGAUCUUUCCGAAUAAUGAAAGAAUCAAAUUCAGUGAGCACCUGAAUCGAGACGGUACGUAGUUUGUUGGUCCUGGUUAAUGGUGGUGAACUGGGAUUUUGUGGAUGUGAUGACAGUGUUUGUUGGGAUCAAUUUGGUCAUCACUCCUCCAACAGUUUCAAUGCUGAGGUCAAUGGAGACACAUCCAAUGGAGGUCAUUCUUAAAAGGAAAUAAACCCUCCAAAAAGAGGCAUAUGCUACUUGAAUUAGUAAAAGGCGAAAGAAGAGUUCGCUAUGUGCUCGGUGUGUCGCUGCGUGAAUUAGAACAUGUACUGCACUUGUAUUUAUCUCUCUUGCUAUAACCAAUUAUAUAGUUAUUUUUCUAUGUGGGAUUCUUUCUCUGAACCAAAAUAGGCAAAAUGGCUCAGGACUGGUAUUCAAAGUUUGUCAUAUGUAUUACGAUUAAUUUGUCCGGGAAUACAAUUUGUAUCCGACAAAGCAUCUUUUGUGUUUACAAAUACUAAAAUAUAUAAAUCUAGCUAGCAAAAAAAUAAAUGCUCUAAGACCUAAUAUUAUGCUCUGCUCAAGCGAGAUGUAAUAUCAAUGAAUGACUCCUCACUGCAAGGAAUUGUGAGGCCGCCCAUUGGAUGAUGAAAUCCAAAUUCUUGUUCAGCUUGGCAUAGCAAUUCUUGAAACGAAGGAUGAUUUAAGUAUGAUAGUGGAAUAACAAAUCGCGUCUUAUUGUUUUCUCCAACAUAAACAGCCAAAUGCCCCUUUGGAACUUCAGUUGACCUCUUUUCAGCCGAUAAAGACCGUCUUAGAAUAUUGUGAAAAGCCAUCGAUUUUUGUUGAAAUAAAUAUAUAUAUAUGAGAGUUUUGUGAAGCAAGUGAAAUAUGAGAAGUAGUUGAGUUGUGAGUUUUGAAGGUGGGUUGUGACUUGUGAGCAUAUAUAUAUAUAGAGAUGAAGUUGUAAAUGGUAUAUCCAAAUUAGAUGGAUUGAGUGGUGAUGAAAAGGCCAAAGGAUAUGUGGUGGCCGGAGAAGUUAGAGAAACAAAAGCACAUGAAGAAUCACAUGUUUUUGUCCUUUAAUUUGUGUGAUUGAAAAUUUAAUGUCCUACAAACUAUGGCAACAGCCAACAUGGCCCUUAAUCAUGACCAUACAACAUAUCAUCACUAGCUUUCUCUUUCUGAUCUAGUAAUUAAUUUGACAAUAUAUCUAUAUAUUUAUCUUUUAUUUCUAUUUUGGCCACAUUUUUUUGGAGGGUCCUAUGAAAUAGGUUUUCUUGCUGUUGCUGUUGGUAAAUCAUUAAUUAUUUUGGUCUAAAAUGUUGUGAAAGAUUGUUCAUGUGCUUUUGUUUCUUCAAGUGUGCCAGAAACGACGUAAACAUUGGCCUCAAUCCACCUAUAUUCUCAAGUAUACAUACAUUUCUUCAAGUGUACUUCCACCUAUAUAUAUAUGUGCAAUGACACAUUUCUAAACUCACAAGUAACAACCAGCUUUCAAAACUGAAUUUCUCACAAUUCACUUGCUUCACAAAACACUCAUUUAUUCCUUAUUUUUCAUCUUCAGCUUCACAAAUUAAAUAUUUAUUGUAACAAAUUCGAUGGCUAUUCACAAAAUUCUUAGACGGUCUUUAUCGGCUGAAAACAGGUCAACUGAAGUUCCAAAGGAGCAUUUGGGUGUUUAUGUUGGAGAAAGUGAAAAGAAACGAUUUAUUAUUCCAUUAUCAUAUUUGAACAAUCGUACAUUUCAAGAUUUGCUAUCCCUACUGUUGGUGGUAAUAUCUACACGCAAAUGCACGUAUCGACGUAUCGUACAAGUAAUAAAGUGGAUUUUUAAGUCCAAGUAUCGGUCCCACAGAGAAUAUUUAAUUAUCUAAUCCUAGACGCUAAAUUCUACCAAUUGCUAUUAACCCCACCCUACACAGUCAAAAGAGGAUUAAUAAACUAAAUUAACUAAACUAAAUUAAGCAAAUUAAAAAAGACAAGAGCAUGAAAGCAAUUAAAAGCGACGAUUUAAUCAGAGUAAACAGGCCUAGGAUUUUAUUUUCCCCCCUAUGUGAUUAUUACUCCCCCAAUUCCUUCAAUUAUGCAAGUAAUUAACUUGGAUUAUUAACCUGAGAUGCUAAAUUAAUCAUAACCUGCUUCCGCGUGUAUUACGAUUCUAAUACUCUAGAUUCAAUUAUUGUAUUCCUACGCAAUUAAUUCUAGAACACAACAUUAAUCAUAAAUCUCAAUAAUUGCUACCUAAGAGAUUAACUAUAUUCCUAUGUUAAUACCACAAAGGCUCUUCUACCACAGUUAUAAUUAUUAACCCGAUCUUCCGAUUCAUGCGAUUAACAAUAAAAUAAAAGCACAUAAAGUGCCAGUUUCAUGAACUUAAUAAAACAAGUAGAAGAAUAAUCUGGAAUUAAAACUUGCAUAAAAUCAUACAAUUGGGUUCAUAAAUCACACAUAGGGUUUGAAAUAAAAUCCUAGAAAUAAAGACUUAACUACUCAUAGUUCUUAUGAUAAAUAAAAUAGAAUUCAUAAAAUAAAUAACAAAAAACUAUGCUUGAGUCUUUGAUAUUCGUUCAUGGCGUUAUUUGGUGUCAAAUUUUGUGUUUAUGGUGUAGAGACUUGUUGCUUUUAUAGGCUUUUCUUGAUAAGGAAGUAGUGGAAACCUAAUAGGAAUCAAUUUCUGCCACUUUCCCCCAUCAAAAUUUGUUCUUCGAUUUUUGCCAUGUUGGAGUCCGAAUUUUGGAAUGUUGGGUGUUUAAGAAUUGUAGCCCUUGAAAUUAGCUUUCCAAUGCCGCCAAAAUCAGCUGAUUUAGAGUUCGUAUGAGAGAGAUAUGCUCGAAAUGGUGGGCAAUGCCAAAAUUGUGGCGAAAUUCCUUCUUCCAAAUUGAUUUAUUUCCUUAUUUGCAACUUUUUCCUUUCUUUUUGAUCAUUUUUUCUUUCAUGGACACCUAAUUCUCAUUUUUUCACCUAUAAAACACAAAAUGAAUCAAUUAAAGCACAAAUAUAAUUAAAUCUAAAAAAAAAGGAAAAUCUGGGCCGAAUCCUCCUUGUGUUUUUCACCUAUAAUUAAUUUUAUAACCAUUUUUCACCUAUAAUUAAUUUUAUUAGCCAGUUUCUGGGGUAAACAACAUAAAACCCCCCCUUGUGUUAAGGAAAAUCUGCGCCGAAUCCUCCUGUGUUUUUUUCUUGCGUAAAACCCUCUCAUGUUUUAUUUUACUUUGCACGAAAUCCCUCUUCCCGCUAAAAGUUAACGUCGUUAACUAUAGAGGGGAUUUUAUGCAAUUUUUGUCAUAACAAAGGGGGAUUUAGUGUAUAUUUUUGUACAUAUAAAAUAUACUAUGUCGGGUACAAAAUAUAUUCGUGGACAAAUUAAUGGUAUUAAGUACCUAUGAAAGAUUUUUCGUAUACUCUGAGCUAUUAUUAUAUAUGUGAAUACGAGUAACACGAGAAAAUAUGUAAUUGUUUCAAACACAACUUAUGCAGAGAAAUUUAAGAUGAAAAUUAUCAACAAUCACAACAAAAUAAGAGAAAUUUUAAUUUGAGCAUUUUUCCCUGCUUGAAUUAAUAUAUAACAAUUUAUUUUUGUUAUUUUCUUGUGGUUUUAUAUUCUUAUUGAAUAUGUGAUGCCUACACUUAGGCCCAAGACAAUGAAUAAGUCAUCACAUGUGUAAUUGAAUUCAAUCAAUUUGAUAACAAAUUGUGUGAAGCCCCAUCUCACCUAAAACAAUAACAAGUUCAAUUAAUUUUCGUAUUAUAUGUCAUAAUAAAAAUGGAACAAACACCGUACAAUCCGUAUUGUUAGAAUCCCAUGGAUUCUAAUUAUACGAGAAUUAAGGAAACUUGUGCCACAAGUUUGCAUAUACCGUGAGCUAAAGAAGGGAAGAGUCCUUGUAGCUUUUAAUUCUUUUAAUUUGUCAUUAAUUGAUUUAUAAUAGGAAUUAUUGUUCUAAAGAGUUUCCUUGUAUUGAAAAUAUUGUUUCCUACUUAAUUAAGAGUUUCCUAACCCUAAUGGACUAUAUUUUCCUUGUAGGAUUCUUAUCACCCUUAGAUGUAUAAAUACAGCAGAACGGCACCUCAUACUCUAUGGUUUAUGUUGGAGAGAAAAAUCAUAUUUUUCUGCUCUUUUUAUUGCUGCGCAUGGAACGUCUUUGAUCGAGAGAAAAUAUACAGAGAAAAUAUCAUUGGCUCUCGUUUUUAUAGUUCCAUCGUGAUACGUGAUUUUCAUAGAAAAUAUAUCGGCUUCAAGGCUUUGUGGUGAAGACACCAAGAUUCAAGGAGUAUCACAAGUUUGCUUCUUCUAUACAAAAAGAAGAUCGGUUCUUCGGGAGAGGGGCUUAAACAGAUCUCGGGAGGAGAUCGAUCCGCCGACUGAGGGAUUCAGCGUUGAAGAGAGUUCAACCGUGCGGAGCAAGGGACGUGCUGCAUAUUAAAUAUUUAUAAUUCAGCGUAGUAUACAAGAACGGCGUCAACAAAGAGGGAGUCUUUGUAUUUUGAUUAAGUCCUACUAUUGUAUUCGUAAAACUAAAAAUUAGUAAAUUUUAUUUGCAGGUCCCCGUGGAUGUAGGGUACAAUUGUAUCCGAACCACAUUAAAUUUGUGUCUCGUUUAUUUCUGUUUUUACGAACUGCUUCACGAACUGUUGCAACACUUCACGCAACAGUAACGAAAAACUGAAUCUGACACAAAUAAUUUAUAUCUGCACGAAAUAAAUUCUAACAAUUGGCAUCAAGAGCCUGUCACUAGAUACACUUAGUGAGAUUUUGGGAUUUAAUUUUUUAAUUUGUUUUGUGCAGAUAUGCUUCAUCGUGAAGGAGCGUCUACAGUACGACCACCUCUCUUGGAUGGAUCAAAUUACUCUUACUGGAAAUCGAAGAUGAAGAUGUUCAUCAAGUCCGUUGAUGAACGAGCUUGGCGUGCUAUCGUGACUGGUUGGACCCCGCCCAUGGCUAAAGGAACGGAUGGUAUGCAAACGGUAAAACCAGAAGAAGCAUGGACUAAUGAAGAGAUAUUACUUGCCAAUUACAACUCAAGGGCGAUAAACUCAAUUUUCAGUGGCGUUGGUGACAAUCAGUUCAAACUGAUAGCAUCGUGUGAAUCAGCAAAAAGGGCAUGGGAGAUCCUACAAGUGACAUAUGAAGGCACAUCAACUGUUAAAACAUCUAAGCUGUAGAUGCGAGCCACGAGAUUUGAGAGUCUUCAUAUGGAGGAGAACGAGACGAUUGCUGAUUUCCACGCUAAGCUGUGUGAUAUUUCAAAUGAAUCGUAUGCACUAGGUGAACAAUACUCGGAAACAAAGUUGGUAAGAAAGGCACUACGUUCAUUACCAGAAAGAUUCGCUUACAGAGUUGCAACAAUCGAAGAAGUGAGAGAUAUCAAUACGCUAAAGCUAGAUGAACUCAUGGGUAAACUGCAAACCCAAGAAAUGAAUUUUAGAGCAAAUAUUCGAGAAAAGAAAAAGGUGAAGAAUGUGGCAUUCCAAGCUGAAGCUUCCCAUGGCAUCUCACAAGGCCAAACAUUUCAUGAGUAAUGACAUUGAUGUUGAAGAAUCCUUAGCAAUUAUGUCGAAUAACCUCGAAAGCCUGCGUCAAAAAAUUGAAAAUAGAGAAAAUUCCUCUCAAUCAGGUAAGUCUGUCAACCCUAACAAAUUUAAAAAGUUUUCUAAUAAUGGUUAUUUUGGUGAUGCAAAGUCUAGGAGAAAGCAAUGUCGAGAGUGUGGGGGUUUUGGACAUAUUCAGGCUGAGUGUGCGAACACUUUGAAGAAAAACAAGAUGUCACUCACCACUGUUUGGAGUGAUAAAGAGGACAGUGAUGAGGAUGAGAACAGCAAAGGAGAUCAAACCACUAACUUUAUGGCAUUCAGUGGUACUACUUCGAUGAGCAGAACCGAGGGAACUGUUGCAACAGUCUGUCCGACAGAUUUCAGGUAUGAUGAAUUAUCUUUAAAUAAGGACAGUAGUCUGACUUCAUCAUUUAAUUUUGCAGGUGAAUCUGAGAGCAGUAGUGAUGAUGAAGAGCCAACCCUCGAAGAGGUGAAAGAUGUAUAUGAAAAAAUGUACCGGAAGUGGCUUGAAGUAUCUGAGGUAAAUAAGCGCCUUGAAAAUGAUAAGCAUGUUCUCAUAGAGGAAAAUAAAGUGUUGAAGGUAAGAAUUUCUACUCUUGAACAAAAUGUUAUUUCUUCUAGUAGAGAAAUAGAUAGCUUGCAGGCUAAAUUUGCUCAAACCCAAGAUGUUAUUUAUAAGUUUAAUACUGGUAGAGUAACUUUGAAUGAAAUUUUGAACAAAAAUCAGCCGAACUACUGUCGUAUAGGUAUAGGGGGUAACCAGCUAUCUACUGGUGCAUCGAAACAGAAAGAAAAUCCUAAAAGAAAAAUCAAUUUCGUUAAGCAAUCCACUGUUUCACAGACUGUUGCGACAGUUGCACCAACACAGCCAUUUCAAAGAAAUGUUUUUGUUCCUACCUGUCAUUUUUGUCAUGUUCCUGGUCAUAUACGACCCAGGUGUUUUAAGUACUUGAAAAUGGUUAAAAGAAUAAUGGCCCGCUCACCACUUUCCGCUAAAAUUGAUCACACUUUUGUGUCGUCUCAAAAACCCAAGAUAAAGGUUGAUUUAGUGAAUAAAACUCAACAAAAAAUCUGGGUAAAGAAGUCUGAUCUUAAUUGUUUAUCUGCCAUUAGUUCUUUAAACUCAUGUGAUGAUAGUACUAACUGUUCCAACAGUUCUGGUGACAAAGCUAGUUUGGGGAAUAAAAAACUUGGUAAUCUAAAUUGUGAUAAUUUGUAUGCGAAAAAUAAGUUUAUGAAUCCAAUUCAGCAUUCGAGAACUAAGCUUACUGAUAUUUGUCAUCUUUUCAUAAGGGGCUUGGUCGAAAAGGGGGUUGUCUCAAUUGAUUAUGCUGCAACGGAGAAUGAAUUAACUGAUGCUUUUGCAAAAACCCUUGAUGCACAGAAAUUUGAUUCCUUGCGAAAAUCGUUGGGAAUUUAUGUUGUUUAAUCUCAUGCAGUUGCAUGAACUGUUGCAACAGUCUGUGUGUCCAGACUUGCAACUUUUAGAGGUAGGACACUUCAUAUGUUUUUGCAUCUCAUAUAGGACCUGCAUUAAGCAUACUGCAUAUGAUUGAGACAAAUGUGAAUUUGAUACUUCGUGUAUUUCUAAAUUUUGUGGGGUAGAACUUCACCAAUUCUCAAAAUGAUUACUUAAAAGGCUCCAACUUAUUUAUUUCUCUGAAUAGUCUUGUCAUGGUUGGAUGUUUUUAUAGGGAAAAACUGCCUCUUUUAAUGAGUGAAAGCUACUCUUGAACUACUGUUACUAAUAUAUAUAUCUACAACCAUUUGGUCAGUGAAUAGUUCGAAUCCUUUUUGAGUCGAGCCAGUAAAUCACGUGGCCGAAAGCUCGCUACAAGGCUCAAUUAGAAAGCCCAGGGGACUACACAUUGCACGGCCAAUAUAAAUUAUAUAUAUGGUCAGUGAAUAGUUCGAAGCCUAGUUGAGUCGAGCCAGUAAACCACUUGACCGAACACUUACUACAAAGCUCAAUUAGAAAGCCCAGGGGACUACACAUUGCACGACCACCAUAAUCUCGUUCCUUUUAAUUGCUCUGUUUUUCGUGGGAAAAAGCUACCAUUAGACGUGUGUGUACGCUACCUAAUAAGAGCAUCUUUGUGUUUGACUUGGGAUUAUUAAGUUUGUUGGUUGCAUUGGCAGUUGGAUUUUUGGGGAUUGCGCUUAUCGUGAAUGUGAAGAUAAAUCCCAUAUGUUUUGUUUGUCCAUGCAGUAUCCUAUUCACAUAUGUCUCUUCACUCAUGUCUAUUUCUCAUGUUUACUUUUUGUACUGCAUUAGGCAUUAUUUAAAAAAGAAAAAAAAAAGGGAGAGAGAGACGGGAUUUUUGUUUAUGUGCCGGUUAAAUUUGUUUUUUUUUUUUUUGUUGCAACCGGAUCGAUUGGGCUUACUCCUCACAUUUCCACGUUUCUUAUGAAGUUUGGCAAAGUGUGUAGUCUUUGCUAUUUAAUGUUGGAUUUGAUAUCACUAUCCUUUGAUUUUCGCAUUGCAAUUAUCGUGUGGUAUUGAGUUUGUGAGUUUGUGAUUUUGUGUGCACGUUAUGUAUAGUGAUUCUUCUCACUUACUUCCAAGAUUCUCUCUUCGUUUUGAUCUUUUUGUUAAGUGUUUGAACAGCUUGCUUGAAUCAUCAAGAUCAUUAGUCCAUGUUGAGUUAUCUCUGCAUGGUGAUUGCCCAGAAAGGGGGAGAAAAGAACAGGAGAAAAGAACAGUAACGAUGGCAUGAACGGGGAGUUCCGACAACUGUUGCGACAGUGCAUCAGACAGUUGCUGGAACAGUGCAGGAAUGCAGGGGGAGUUCAGACAACUGUUGAGACAAUGCAUCAUACAGUUGUUGGAAUAGUGCAGAAAUACAGGACAAAUAAGGAGGAAUUCAUUGUAAAGGGAAGUUGAUUCUCCUACUGCAUAUUUUUUUUUGUUCUUUGCUUAAUUGAACAACUGUACACUAUCUGCUGAACUGUUUGAUAAACUGUUACACCAGUUUAUAUUUGCAGAUGUUAUUUUGAAUUUGCUGACCCUUGUUCAUGCAUAUAUCAUAUAUUUAGGGGGAGUAAAUGUUCUGACCAAUCAAUGCCAAAGGGGGAGAGUGUUAGAAUCUCGGUGGGAUUCUAAGUCCACAACACCAAGUGGAAACCUAUGGAGAUGUUUAUUGUCAUUAAUUGGUUUAGGUCUUCACAAGAAUAUAAAAGGAGGAGCUAAUGCAGACGUUAUUUGCUGAGUUUUUUUAUCACGUGGAUAAUUUACCACGUUGUCAUCCACCGCCUUCCAAGUCUAUCAAACCGAGUAAGCAAAGGGGAAGAAUGAAUGCAUUUACAAGAGGAGCUGCCUAAGGAUCAUUCACAGAGGGAUAUACACAUGCAGGGGGAGCUGACUCCGGUGUGAACCACCUGCCGAAGCCACUACUGUGGGAACAGUUGCUGAAACUGUGGCACUUACUAUUGCAGCAGUUGAUGCCACUCUUGUUGUUGAAAGAGUUGAUGAUGAUCUUUAGUUUUAUUUGUUUCCGUCUAAUCAUCUGAUUGUUUUAUUUUCAGGUUUUUUACUCAGUGAGAGAAAAUGAUUAUAAUCAAUAAACGACAAAGGGGGAGAUUGUUAGAAUCCCAUGGAUUCUAAUUAUACGAGAAUUAAGGAAACUUGUGCCACAAGUUUGCAUAUACCGUGAGCUAAAGAAGGGAAGAGUCCUUGUAGCUUUUAAUUCUUUUAAUUUGUCAUUAAUUGAUUUAUAAUAGGAAUUAUUAUUCUAAAGAGUUUCCUUGUAUUGAAAAUAUUGUUUCCUACUUAAUUAAGAGUUUCCUAACCCUAAUGGACUCUAUUUUCCUUGUAGGAUUCUUAUCACCCGUAGAUGUAUAAAUACAGCAGAACGGCGCCUCAUACUCUAUGGUUUAUGUUGGAGAGAAAAAUCAUAUUUUUCUGCUCUUUUUAUUGUUGCGCAUGGAACGUCUUUGAUCGAGAGAAAAUAUACAGAGAAAAUAUCAUUGGCUCUCGUUUUUAUAGUUCCAUCGUGAUACGUGAUUUUCAUAGAAAAUAUAUCGGCUUCAAGGCUUUGUGGUGAAGACACCAAGAUUCAAGGAGUAUCACAAGUUUGCUUCUUCUAUACAAAAAGAAGAUCGGUUCUUCGGGAGAGGGGCUUAAACAGAUCUCGGGAGGAGAUCGAUCCGCCGACUGAGGGAUUCAGCGUUGAAGAGAGUUCAACCUUGCGGAGCAAGGGACGUGCUGCAUAUUAAAGAUUUGUAAUUCAACGUAGUAUACAAGAACGGCGUUAACAAAGAGGGAGUCUUUGUAUUUUGAUUAAGUCCUACUAUUGUAUUCGUAAAACUAAAAAUUAGUAAAUUUUAUUUGCAGGUCCCCGUGGAUGUAGGGUAUAAUUGUAUCCGAACCACAUUAAAUGUGUGUCUCGUUUAUUUCUGUUUUUACGAACUGCUUCACGAACUGUUGCAACACUUCACGCAACAGUAACGAAAAACUGAAUCUGACACAAAUAAUUUAUAUCUGCACGAAAUAAAUUCUAAGACGUAUAAACAUAAUGACGAUGACAAUGCCAGCCCACCAAAUUAAUCAACUCUAUCUAAUAAUGGUCUGCUAAUUUGUGUGCUGGUGAGGUUUGUAAACACCUUAGUCCAAUCUUGUGAAUAAUUCACAUUUAAUAAUUCUGUUUUCUUGUUGGAGAUAUGGUGGGAAUAAUGUGAUUGUUUCAUGUGCUUUUGUUUCUUAAACUUUGCUACACACCACAAAUCUUUUAGGCCUCUUUUGAUCACCAAUCAGUCCAGCUAGUUUCUCAUGGGUACAUACGGCCUUUAAUUUACAAGUACUACUAUCUAUAUAUAGAGGUUUACAUGGCGAACAUUAAUUCAAAAACACAAUUCUCAUAUUUCAAUUGCUUAACAGACAGAACUAUCAAAUACAUAUUCCCUCAUUUUUCAUCUUCGCUUCACAAAGAUUUACUUCAACAAAAAAUCGAUGGCCAUUCACAAAAUGCUUAGACGGUCUUUAUCGGCUGAAAAAAGAUCAAAUGAAGUUCCGAAGGGGCAUUUUGCGGUUUACGUCGGAGAGAGUGAAAAGAAACGCUUUGUUAUUCCAUUAUCGUAUUUGAACAAUCCUUUGUUUCAAGAAUUGUUAUGCCAAGCUGAAGAAGAAUUCGGAUUCCAUCAUCAAAUGGGCGGCCUCACAAUUCCUUGCAGUGAAGAGUUAUUCAUUGAUAUCACCACUCACUUGAGCAGAGCAUAAUAUAUAGACUAGGUUUCAUAGAGCAAUACUUUUUUUUUUGUUAGCUAGUUCCAGCUGGACAUACUUCUUUUUUUAUUUUCAGACACAGAAGAUACAUAUUUUGUCUCGAGAAUUUAAUGAUAUUAUUACCUUGAAAAGAUUCCUACACUCUUGAGCCAUUUUGAUAAGUCACUGCAUAAAGAGAAGAACUGUGAAUAAGAAAAAUACUUGCUGACUGGGGAUCAGCAAUCAACAAGGCCUAUGGCCUAUUAAAAAAAUAAUAUAAAAAAGUAAUAGCCCCCAAAUAAUAUGUAUAGGCGAAAUGUAUGAAAUUUUUUUCUUUCUAGAUUUCAAUAUUAAAUAAAAUCAAAUUAUCUAGCAGAAACAUGUAGCAUGGCAUAGUAAUUCUUGAAAGGAAGGAUGGUUCUAAUACGUUAGCAGAAUAACAAAGCGCUUCUUUUCAACUUUCUCCGAUGUAAAUAGCCAAAAGCCCCUUUGGAACUUCAUUGAAUCUCUUUUCAGCAGAUAAAGAAUUAACGUCUAAUUAAGCAUUUUGUGAAUAUUAAUUCAAAAACUCAAUUCUCAUAUUUCAAUUGCUUCACAGAUAGAAAUAUCAAAUACAUAUUCCUUCAUUUUUCAUCUUCGGCUUCACAAAGUUUUACUUCAACAAAAAAUCGAUGGAUUCACAAAAUUCUUAGACGGUUGUUGGGCUAAAUACCUAACACGCAAGUGCACGUAUCGCAAACAAGUAGUAAUAAUGGACUCGUGAGAGUCAAAUGUCGAUCCCACAUGGAAUACUCAAAUUACCUAAUCCUAAGUACCAAAUUCUAACAAUUAUGAUUUUUAUCAAGCCUACCCAAGGUUGUCAAAUUUAAUCAACUAAAUAAUUAAACUAGUUAUAAAAGUAAACUCAAGAGAAUAUCAAUAAAAACGGAUUUAUGAUUUUAUCUCCCCCUAUGCGAUAAUUCAUCACCCAGUUAAAUCACUAUCAUGCAAGUUACGAUUCCUGAUUAUUAACCCGAGACGCUAAAUUACUCAUAACCCGCUGUCGCAUGUAUUAUGAGUCUAUUAUUUAUACACGGUUCACUAUAUGUCUAUGCAAACCAAUUAUGAAUAAAGCAUUAACUAUCAAGACAGCUCGUAAACGGCUACGCCUCUUUUUGGAGGGUUAAUUUCCUUUUCGGAAUUCAACGCUGAUAAAUCUAGUUCAAUUUUUGCCAACAAACGUAAUCACAUGAGAUACCUAGUUCUUCUACUAUAUAUCUGAAAGCAAAAUGAUGAAUGCAUAAUGAUGAAGAUAUACAUUCAUUUUAUCACAUGGUGGACCUACUUAACAUAUAUAUAGACAACUUGGUGUACACAUCAAAUCUUGUUAUUGCAAUAGGACCAUCUAGACUUUGAGGGCCAUUUUAUCAUAGUUUGUAGGAAACAAUAUUUUCAAAUCACACAAAUUAUUUUGCCUUAAAGUCUUUCUAAUAAAGUCCAAAACAAAUCCAUGUUACUCCAUAUGUACAUGUUUUCUCAAGUUUCAUAGACCAGCACAUAUCCAAUUUCCUAUCUUGAUUUUUUUUCAAGUAUAUACAAUUAAUAGUUCACCUAUAUAUACAACACCAUUUCUUGACUCCAACCAUCAACAAAUCCUAAAAAACACUCUUACCUUUCUUGCCUUUCAUUCAUUUCAUAAUACUCUCAAAAAAAAAAAAAAAAAUCGACUUUCAAGCAAGAUUCAUUUCAUAAAAAAAUGGUCAUACGACAAAUGUUGAGACGAUCUUUAUCCAACGAAAGAAAAUCAACUGAAGUUCCAAAGGGUCAUUUAGCUGUUUAUGUUGGGCAUAAUGAAAAGAAGCGAUUUGUUAUUCCAUUAUCAUACUUAAACAAUCCUUUGUUUCAAGAUUUGCUAUUUCAAGCUGAAGAAGAAUUUGGAUUCCAUCAUCCGAUGGGCGGAAUCACUAUUCCUUGCAGUGAAGAUCUAUUUGUUGAUUUAACUUCUCGUUUGAGCAGAACAUGGAUAUACAUGUUUAGGAGGAUCACAAUUUUGUAGCAUUAGUUUUUUUUCUUUUUUCCAAGAAGGGUUCUUCUUCUUGUUCCUUCCCUGUUUCUAGACAAAUAUAAUAGUUUAUCAAUCAAGGAAUGUGCAGAAGAACACAAUUAGAGUGUAUACACAAAAAUCUUUGAUUCAUUUUCUGCCAACGCAUUGUUUGGUUUGAGUUGGAAAUACUAAUUCUAUAUGAACUCAACAAUUCAAAUCAAACUUAUGUUCUAACUUCUAAGUCUCAACAUACCUUGAUUAUAUUAUCAUUAUUGCCUCCUAAUCAAGUCAAAAGGAACGAUGUAUUAACUGAUAAGGGUGAAUUACAGCUUGCACCCCUGUACUAUCGAAAAGGUCGCAUUCAACCCCUGUACUAUCAAAAUCUACAAAUACCCCCUGCUUUUAACAGUCAAUGGUCAGACAUGUGACGGUGUUAACUUUUACUGUGCAAUUACUCUUCUACCCUCAUUUUUACGUCUGAUGAGUGUCGAAAUUUCGCCAAGUCUUUUCAUUCCCUCACAAAAACACACACUCACUCUCUGCCUCUCCUUUCGAAUUUUCAUAAGGAAAAAAGUCUCACAAAAAUCUCCCUUUCUCUCUGAGUUUUUGCGAAAUUGGUUUUAAGAACUACUGAAUGAGUGCAUUCGAAGGAAGCUUACUGUAGAAGAAGUUAAGAUUUUCAAUUUUAGGGGUUUUCUCGACUAAGCCAUUCAAUUUUACUUGUGUGGGUACAGUAAAUUUUUUUGGGGGGUUUCUUGAAUUCGAUGAGCUUUGAAGGUUUAGGGUAUGUUUUUUAGUAAAAUUUAGGUUUUCUUUUUUAUUGUUGUCGAUUUUUACUGUUCGUUAAAAUUAGGGCUUUCGUCGAUGUGUACUAUUCGUUGAAAUUUAGUUUUUUUUAUGAGAUUUUAUUGAUUGAAUUUUUAUUUUUAUUUUUAUUUUAAUGCAGAAAAAAUGAAUGAUCAGUUGUUUACUCUUAAGAUCCACUAGGGAGGGAGAUUCACAAUUGAUGGUUUUGACUACAUUGGAGGGAUGACAUUGGAGUUGAUGGUUCCAGAAAAAUAAGACAUAUAAUGUUUGGAUCUAAAACACGAUCGUUGAGAAUUUGAACCAUUAGAAGAUAUUUUAGCGUGAAAAAAAAUAAAGAAAACGAAGCUGGAAAAAUAAUAGGAAUUGAAGUUGAAUGAAAUGCAGAAUUCAAGGAGAAAAGAAAACAUGAGAAAAACGAGAAAAGAGGGGAAAGUUGGAGAAAAAACGAGGAGAAAAUAAAACAAGAGAAAAAACGAGAAAAAGAGGAAAAAAAAAAGGAGAAAAAACGAUCUGAAAAGGUGAAAAUUUUGGUGAGAAAAAAUGGGCAAGAGUAUGCAACAUUUAUGUAGUGAUUUUAGAAAAAAGCCAAAGGCUCUAUGAAACGGUCGGUCAACGCGUUUGACAAACGGAGUCAACAGUCAGUGCUAACGGCAGGAGUGUAUUUGUAGAUUUUGAUAUUAUAAGGGGGUGAAUGCGAUCUUUUCGAUAGUACAGGGGUGCAAACUGUAAUUUACCCAACUGAUAAUGAUAGAAAGAUCAGGUUUGCUUUAUAAAAUCUUAAUCCGUGAAUAUGAGUUGGGAAAUUAAAAUUAGGGCGAAUUUGACAUACACCCACAAAUUCAAAUUUUACUACAAAUAGACUCUCCAUUUAACUUUCAUUUCUAAUAAACCCACAAAAAUAUUAAUUCACAAAAUGGCCCUACAUAUUUUUAUUUGAGAUAAGUUCAAACCACCCCCAUCGCAUCCCACCCUCCUACCAGGGCGGUCUGACCCAAUCAAAUAUUUUUUUUCUUUUUCUUUUCUUUUUGAAAAAAAAAAGAUUCUUUUUUUUCGGCGGGUCGUCGAAGCUCCAGCUAACUGACUCAGCAUUAGCUAACUUCAAUUACUUAACUUUAGACAAUCCAUUUUUCUUUUAUUUAUUUAUUGUUUUAAUUUUUUUUUCUGGUGGUGGGUCGUCGGAGAUCCAAUCAGUUGACUCAACAUUAGUUAACUUUAAGGGUAAAUUACAAACACCCCCCUGAGGUAUGAUCAAAUUACAAAAACACCCCUCUUGUUUGGAUAAUUACAAUGACCCCCUCAACUCUUCAAAUUUAGUGGAAUCUUCAAGAUUAUAUGCAAUAGUAUCACUUUUGUACCUGUUUUAUUCCGUUCGAACUCUACAUUAUGAAGCAAGAUGAUCAUAAUAUGUGUUUUUUAGCUUGUAUAUAUCAGUUUGUGGUGCAUCAAAAACUGUAUUUUUACACAAAACGAGUACAAACUAGAGCACAUUCCACGGAAUCUAGAUGAUUAUGUUGAAUUUGGCACCAUAAGGGUGGAGGUGUAAGAAAAAAUCAUAGCUUAGGGGGUAGAUGUAAUUAACCAAACAAGAGGGUUUUUUUUGUAAUUUGACCAUACCUCAGGGGGGUGUUUGUAAUUUACCCUAACUUUAACAUUGGUAGGGAUUGUUUUUUCUUUUUUUUUAGAAAGAAAAAUUCACUUCUUUUUUUCUGGCCGCGGGUCGUCGGAGCUCCAGUUAGCUACAGUCCUUUGUAAGACUUCUUUCACUCUCGAAAACAUUUCUAAAUGCAAAAAAUAUAUAAUUAUGUGUUAUUUGUUGGUUACAUGGGAAUGUGAUCUUUCCAAAUAAUUAAAGAAUCAAAUUCAGUGAGCAUCUGAAUCGUGACGGUAGUUUGUUGGUGCUGGCUAUUGGUGGUGAACUGGGAUUUUGUGGAUGAGAUAACAGUGUUUGUUUGGAUCAAUUUGGUCAUCACUCCUCCAACAGUUUCAAUGCCGAGGUCAAUGGAGACACAUCCAAUAGAAGAAGAUAUGAUCAUGCAUUCUAUUUUUUUAAUUUGCUUACAAAUAUUUUUUCAACUUAAAUCAACAGCUGAAGAAAAAGGUUACCAGGGCCAGUCCGGCGUAUUCGGGAGCCCGGGGCGAGAAUAUAAUUGUUCGAUAGUUCGGGGGCAACGUCGGAAUUUUUUUUUCCGCGUCUUAAGCUUAAUGAAAUAAUAUAAAUAAAUUAUUCAUUAAUAAAAACCUUAUAAAUAGAAGUCUGAAUAUAUUCAUGUCUAGAUAAAAAAACUUUUGUGUAACCAAAUGUUAGAAUAAGAAAAAUAUUAAAAUUUGAAAAAGAAUAGAAGAGUAAUUUUAAAAUAAAUCUAUAAAAAAAGAAAAAAUAAUAGAAGAGUAAUUUUAUUUUUUCUUGAAAAAAUAGAAGAAUUUCUUUUUUAAACAAUAAGACAAUUUUUACACAUAAAAAUAUAUAAUAUAAAUAUUAGAAAAUUAAAAUUUUGGGGCCCCUAUUACAUGGGGCCCUAGGCGUGGGCCCUGCUCGCCCCACCCCAGGGCCGGCCCUGAAGGUUACAGUACAAUAUCUUCGGUUUCAUCACCUCCCUUCUCUGCUGAGGAUCCCUCCUUGGGCUGCAGCACCAUAAGUUGCCACAUCUGGGUUAACACCCUUGUUGGGUUAAAGAAGCCAAAGAAUCGUCUCAUGGCGGGACACGGUGGCACCAUCGGAGUGGUACGACAAUAUGCAGAGAAAAUUCCAUCGGACAAGGAAAGUGAUGAUGGAUUUUAAUUUCCUAAUAACUGACAAAUUUGCGCUUCUUUAAAAUUCUCAUUUUGCCAAAAAUUCUACUAUUGGGGAUGUUAUAUUUUCAGGCAGGGCCGGCCCUGAUGGUAAGCCACACAAGCAAGUGCUUUGGGCCCCCCAAUCCCAAGGGGCCCCCAAAAAUAAAUAUUUUAAUUAUAUAUAUUUAGAUAUAUUUUAUAUUAUUCUUACACUAAAAUUGAUUGUGGUAUUUUGUUGUUUUUUGAGAUAAGGCUGUUGGUAAUUUCAAUACAAAAAAAGCAAGCUUUCGUUAUUAUUUAUUAAAUUAUAUAUAAUAAUGAUUUUGUUGGUUAUAUAUUUUACUUCAAAAAAUGCUAAAUGAUUGAUAUUAUAGUAAUAUUUUAUUGAUAUGAUUUAUGCGUUUUAGCCCUAUUAUCUCUAAUAUAAGUAUAUAUUUUAAUCUUUUUAUUGUGUUAUCAAAAAAAUUCACAAAGUUUAUUGCUUUUUAAUAUUUAUGUAUUUUUAAUAGAUUAGUAAACUUUUAGUAGCUCAAUAAGGCAUUAAUUUAAAAAAAAUCGAAAAAUAAGUAUUAACAAAAAAAAAAAGGUAAUACAUAUAAGGGAAAAAAAAUCUACUUUUGUCGAAGCUCGCUUAGGGCCCCAAUUUUUGCAGGACCGGCUCUGCUUAAGUGCCAGUACAUUUAUUUUGGCUCGGAAAACGAAUCCCAUAGGAAAACAACCAAUAAUUGUUUAUAGCCAGAGGAUAAAUGAAAUGGCUGUAACAUGUUCGAGUUCACACAGCGAGCAGUGAGAACAUAGUGAACUAUUUUUUCGCCUUUUGCAACAGAAUACCGUGUUGUCAUCAUUAUGUCGUCUAAUAAUCAAUUAUAAUAUUAUGCUAUUAACAGAAUUGUAUGUGGACGACAUGAAAUAGCCAACACAGAACAGCUAGAUUAUAUGAAAACAAAGUAGUCCCGGCUUAUGAACUUUAGAAGCAAUAAAUAUGUUAUCAAUGAGACAUGUAUAACAUAUGUGCCUUUUGGCGAAAUUUUGACUGAGCUGAGCAAUGUUGUCCUUAAAUGUAUAUAAUAUAUGUAAGUCCUGAGUAAUAGAACUGAUCGAUGAAAACCAAACUAACAGAAAUAUUUUCAACUAUUGAGUCCAUAAAUAAUUUGUAGCAACAAAUCAAAACCAGAUGAUUUUUCAUCUUAAAAUGGAUCAGCAAUAUUCAUACUCUAAAUUAUUCAAACACGAGGUACCAAAUGUAUUUUUUGUGAAUAUGAGGAACCAAAUGUGAAACCAAUGCAAACUUGAGGAAUGAAAAUUAUAAUUUUCCCAAUUAGUAACUCAAGCCACACAAUACUUUGUCAUCCUAAAAAAUUGAGAACAAACAAGAAGAAAUAAUUAUAAAAAAUUGUGAUCUUCCUAAACAUAUGUAUAUCAUGUUCUGCUCAAACAAGAGAUUAAAUAAAUAAAUUGAUCUUCACGGCAAGGAAUAGUGAUCCCACCCAUCGGAUGAUGGAAUCCAAAUUCUUCUUCGGCUUGAAAUAGCAAUUCUUGAAAUGAAUGAAUGUUCAAAUACGAUAAUGGAAUUACGAAUCGCUUUUUUUUACUCUCCCCAACAUACAACCAAAUGCCCUUUUGGAGCUUCAGCUAAUCUUCUUUCGUUGGAUAAUGACCGUCUUAAUAUUUGCUGGAUUGCCAUCUUUCUGUGAAGUGAAUCUUGCUUAACUCAACGAAAAACAAAGGGACUCUUUUAAGUGAAGGUUGAGAAAGCUAAAAGUAUUUUUUUAUCAGAAGUUAUUUGUAAACAAGAAACGGUGUUGUAUAUAUAGACUAGAAAGAUAUGAUAUGCAUUCAUCAGAAAUCUACACAAUUGAUGUGGUCAACAUAAAAUUAUUUUCUCUAUGAAACUCGAAAAAAACAUACGCAUAUGAAGUCACAUGGAUUUGUCUUUCAAAAAUGAAAUGAAUUCAAGGCAACAAGAAUUUGUGUGAUAGAAAAUGUUGUAUCCUACCAACUCUGGCAACAUGGCCCCUGAAACCAUCAUCUCAACAUCUCUAUUUAUUUCGAUAUAUCUACUAAUUAGGCCAUCUUAUCCUAAAGGCCACAUUCAAUUAUAUUCAGCGGGUCAAUGUGACGUUUUCUUGCUGGUGGUGUUAGGAAUGAUAUAAGGGUCCCUCACAGUUGACAAAUAAUUCAUUAUGUUGCUCUAAUUUAUAGACAAAACCAUGAAAUUUUUCAUGUGCUUUUGUUUCUCUAAUAACUUCUCCAGGAGCCACCACAUAUCCUUUGGCCUUUUCAUCACCACUCAAUCCAACUAAUUUGGAUAGUAUUUACAAGUUCAUCUAUAUAUAUAUGUUUAUACGUCACAUAUCUAAACUCACAACCUGCAGCUUUCAACUUCUCAUAUUUCGCUUGCUUCAUAAAACUCACAUAUAAUUCCUUCAUAUUCUUUCAUCUUCGGCAUCAUAAAGAUUUAUUUUAACCAAAAUCAAUGGCUAUUCACAAAAUUCUUAGACGGUCUUUAUCGGCUGGAAAGAGAUCAACUGAAGUUCCAAAGGGGCAUUUGGCUGUUUAUGUCGGGGAGAGUGAAAUGAAGCGAUUUGUUAUUCCAUUAUCAUACUUAAAUCAUCCUUCGUUUCAAGAAUUACUAUGCCAAGCUGAAGAAGAAUUCGGAUACCAUCAUCCGAUGGGCGGCCUCACUAUUCCUUGCAGUGAGGACUUAUUCAUUGAUCUCACCUCUCACUUGAGCAGAACAUGAGUUACACACACACACACACACAUUAGGUCUUAGACCAAUAGAAUUUUACUAGCCUGUUUUUGGACAGUUUGUUUUUUUGUUUUUUGUACAUAGAGAACAUACUCCGUCAGGGUACAAAAUGUAUUCCCGGACAGAUUAAUU
rnacentral:lncRNA from 1 species